rnacentral:snoRNA from 1 species
UUGGAGGUGAUGACUAUUUCCCCACAUGAUCGACGCUGAUUAUACUGUGCGCUUUUUUGUUGUUCCUCUUUGUUGAGGAACCAAGCCAGUCUUUCUGAUCCAA